GACGAACGCUGGCGGCGUGCCUAAUACAUGCAAGUCGAGCGGACAGAAGGGAGCUUGCUCCCGGAAGUUAGCGGCGGACGGGUGAGUAACACGUGGGCAACCUACCCUGUAGAUCGGGAUAACAUCGAGAAAUCGGUGCUAAUACCGCAUAAUCAUUCGAAGUGCAUGCUUCGAAUGUAAAAGAUGGCUCCGGCUAUCACUACGGGAUGGGCCCGCGGCGCAUUAGCUGGUUGGUAAGGUAAUGGCUUACCAAGGCAACGAUGCGUAGCCGACCUGAGAGGGUGAUCGGCCACACUGGGACUGAGACACGGCCCAGACUCCUACGGGAGGCAGCAGUAGGGAAUCUUCCGCAAUGGACGAAAGUCUGACGGAGCAACGCCGCGUGAGUGAUGAAGGUUUUCGGAUCGUAAAGCUCUGUUGUUAGGGAAGAACAAGUGCCGUUUGAAUAAGGCGGCACCUUGACGGUACCUAACCAGAAAGCCACGGCUAACUACGUGCCAGCAGCCGCGGUAAAAC
rnacentral:rRNA from 1 species